UUUGCUUUCGACAUUCUCUGGAAUUUAAAAAAUAAAUACCUUUGAUUUUCAUUAAUCAUAAUCAAAUACAUAGUCACAAUCCAUUUGUUACAACACAAUCUAGUCACUAAUAUUGACACUAGAAUCACAUAAGACUAAGUGGCCAAAACAUAUGCAAACAAAGACUCCAUAUUGACUCCAUAUUGACUGGACUAUAACACUAGAAUCAUAAAAGACUAAAUGGCCAAAACAUAUAUUGAUCCAAAAACUAGUUACAAAUCUCAUAAACAAUAUAGGACAUUACAACAAAAUAAAAAUAAAAANNNNNNNNNNNNNNNNNNNNNAACACCAAGACAGGCAACUUAUAAGCGAUCCAACGUCGAGGGCAAAAACUGUCAACUAAAAAACUAGAAACAAGGCAGCAGAGGCAGAUUUUGAACAUGUUAAAAACCAGAAAUAAGCAAACACCAGUAUGACAUAAUGUUUUCUCUUUAGGCCCCCAUGGUUCUUCCCCCCUGGAUUUUACUUUUUUGCCCUUCAAUAAAAACUUCAGUUGCUACGAACCGAAUUUUUUUGUCCUUGAAAAAAAAAUUGGUUUCUGUUAACCGAAUUUUCCCUGAAUUUGAACUAGAAAAAACUUCGGUUUUUGCGAACCGAAGUUUUUAGCAAGGGCAAAAUUGGAAUAUUUGGGAGUAUAAAAGAUACAUGAGAGGCCUAGAGAGAAAACAUNNCCUAUUCAUUGUCUUCUUUUUUGCUCAAAAAUAUAUUUCAAUUGUUCAAAGUUUAAACUAAAAUUAAUGAAAUGCGGACAAAAAUUAGAAAGGAAAUACAUAUACCUGGCUUGAACUCCAUUUUGUUGGGCGUACGUUGAUUGCUCAUGAAGCCUUAGACUGGGCACUUUUGAAACAAUAUACUCAAAAGAUUCAUA
rnacentral:lncRNA from 1 species